rnacentral:ncRNA from 1 species
AAAAAAGCGAAGAAUGAUCGAAGUAGUCCUUAUCUUCCCUGUACAAGAGAGCUAAUGGAUGGUGUGAAUUAGCACAUAAGGUUAGGAUGAAUUACAAUCAGGAGCUUUCUUUGUGAUAAGCAAAGAACGGGUACACCGUUAAAUAAAUGAAGUGGGAUAGAAAAUUAUGCAUAUAAAGAGAACUAUGCAUGGUUCUAUUCAACAAGGGUGGUAACGCGAAGACCUCGUCCCUUAU